GCUUUCAGUGAUGCCGGUGCAUCUAGAAGCAGGUUCACCUGGAGGCUGGAGCUGAACUAGGGGCUCUGUCGGUGCCAGUCUGGUCUUAUAAUAUGACCCCGUGAGUCUGCAAAGAGCGCUCUGGCGACAAAAAUCACCACCCAAGCAAACCUGAAGAUUGUGUAGCCACCCAAUUCUGUGUAUUUCCCAGAGCCAGAAGCUGCACAGCAGCCAUGGAAAGACUGAAGUUUGGUGCCAGUUUUGGCUCUGCCGUUAAUUCAUUCAGGACAACCUCGACACUGGUCUGGAGAGAAAGCUGGAUCCUGUGCAAAUAACUAGAGCGCAGCUAAGGGGAAGUAAAACGUGCUACUGAGGCAGGAAACGUCGGCACGUCACACAGCCUAUGCUGGACAGUCAAGGAGGGAUGUGUGAAAAGAAGCUUGUGUCUCCAGUAAAUGCAACCCAACAAGGUGGAAACCACUACCAUCACUGUUUUACUGAUGAAGAAAAACUGGGGUUCUAGGAGGACAAAUAGCUCGGUGAAGCCUGGGGAGCAGCGGUCCCAAAGCUCUGAUUCCUACACGUUUUCCUGCUGAGUCACACCGGCUGCUGAGACGUCGCCAGAGGACCUGACAGCCCCUUUAGGACUUGGACUCUAUUCUGCAUUGCUGGACGAUAAGCAGCUUUUUUCGUAUCAGUUCUUAAGAAAUGUGCAGCUUACACUGAUUAAAGGUAGGAUACACAUUUGGAAUUGAGGGCAAAACAGAAGAAUCGACUUCUUCUGAUUUCUAAUCACUGCUGGUCAAUGGAGUGCAUCCUUUCUCGGAUCAAGUCUCAGGCAGUCCUGUUCCACGGGUGGCAGUACCUACAGUUUUCUCACGUUCCUCUGCCUCCCUCUAGUGACGCGAGGAAGCCAGGGACAUCGUGAGCACUGUGCAGCCCCGAGGGUGGCUCUCAUACCUAAAGUGAUCACUCACCUCCGUGCCGGAACAUCUAGUUUCCAGCAAUUUGCAGACGGUCGCUGCUCAGAGGCAACUGUUGAAACUCUCGGAGGAGUUUUUCCAGCACAAUAGACAGUAUUGUGUAGAGCACAGCUUCUGGGGAAGACUGUUUGGAUUAAUAUCCUGGCUCUGUGACUUACUGCUGUGUACUGAGUUCAUUUUCUCCAGCCGUGCUUCAGUUUUCUUGUCUCUAAGGUGAGAAUAACUUUACAGGAUUUCAUAAUUUCAAUAAUUUCAUAGGAUUUUUGUGAGGAUCAAAUGAGUAAAGCUCUUAGUACAGAGUCUAGCAUGUAAUGAACACUCAAUAAAUGUUAACUAUUUCUAACUUCCAUUGUAAACUAUGUGCUAACAUUGCCGUUUCUUAAUUUACCAAUAUUUGACAAUCUUUAUGGACUUUCUCUUAUUGAUAGUUAGAAAUUUAGCUCUUUUGUGUCACCACGCCCCCUCCUCCCUUGUCCCCUCAGUAAAGUCAUAUCCCAGUUUUUCAAAAUCAACCAUCAGUGUUUACGUUCCUCUGACUAUGCAAAUAUCAUUUACAGUUUAGCCCAGUUAUUCAAACAACUUCUUGUUUGGGAUUUUCCUCCAGUUAAUAAUUGUUUCGUGUUUCAUUUGCUUAUGUUUUCUCCGUCCAUAUUGCUAUUUCCCCCUACAUGUUUAAAAUGAUUGGUCAAGCAUUGAAAGAUAAUUUUUCCAUUUCUCUUAUAUAUCCAAUAAACUAUUGGUCUGCUGAGCGUUUGAAUUGGUAAACUGAGUGAAGAAGAUCUCCCUCAGCAUUGUAGGCGGCAUCAUCCACUCCACAGGCAGAGGAAGGGCGAGUUUGCACUCUCUCUGCUUGAGCUGGGCUGUCCAUCUUCUCCUGCCCUGGGACAUCCGCACUCCUUGUUCUUGGACCUUUGGACUUGGACUAGUGCUUAUGCCAUCAGCUCCUCUGGUCCUCAGGGCUUCAAGCUUGGACUGAAACUACACCACUGGGUCUCUUGCACAUGGCGGAUCCUGGAACUUCUCAGCUUCCACAAUCUCGUCUAAUGGUGAUAUGUUCAUCCUGAAGGCCAACUCUGUGAGGCACUAAGGAAUUCAUGCAUCAUUAUUAGAAUGGCUAUUCCUGCAUCGCUGCUAAGGCAGGUGAGAAACUAGAGUUCUAGCCACUUUUUAACGGCACUUUUCAACUACAACAUGCAAAUGGUUGGUUGACUUCGUACAAGAUUAAUUAAGAAGUCUCAUGUGAGUGGGGAGACAUUCAUUUUAGGCUUGAUGAUUUAAUCACAGUUAAUUACAUAAUUAACAUGUAAAAUCCUGAUGCAAUUAAAAAGCGGAAUGAACAAGAAACUGGAAUAAUUGUUUUGAUGAGAUGACAAUCAUAAAGUUGAAGUGAACUAAUACACAUUGAACACGCAAAAUAGUGUAACUUUUGGGGCUGGCCCUGUGGUCAAGUGGUUAAGUUCGCACGCUCCGCUGCAGGCUGCCCAGU